UUAAUUAGUUUUACAUGACAAUCCACAUGGUUUCAGUGCUGGAAACAUAUUGCAGGAAGCACAGAACAAGUUCAUUUCAGCUUGUUCAAUGAGUAGCUGAAUUGUGCCUAUACUUCACUUAGAUCAGUUCUCUCCAACCCUGUUCCUGGAGAGCUACCGUCCAGUUGGUUUUCACUCCCACUCUAAUCUAAAUCAGAUAAAAUAUUAUUAGUCACAUACACAUGGUUAGCAGAUGUUAUUGUGAGUGUAGCGAAAUGCUUGUGUUUCUAGUUUCAACAGUGCAGCAAUAUCUAACAUUUCAUCUAACAAUUCCACAACAACUACCUAAUACACACAAAUCUAAUCUAGUGCACCUGAUUCUAAUAAUUAGCUGGUUGAUAAGCUGAAUCAGGUGAGUUACAACUGGGGUUUAGCUCUCCAGGAACAGGGUUGGAGAGCCCUGACUUAGAUAAUAAUUCACAGUGACUUCAAUGGUGCUUGUACCGGAGCUGCCAUGUCUACAGUUGAACAAACAUACUUGCUAAAUUGCUAGUCAGAUAUAAUGUGCUCCACCCUUUCCUGCUUCUACGAAGGAGAAGGACAAGAAGACCCCGUCUCUAACCAUUUGGACCAUUCCCACUGAACGGCCUUGGACACGGGCCUGCAGCUCACCAACUCUCUUUCUCUGUACAACCCACCUAGUACACCCGUUAAGAAAGGACUGGACUUCAGCAGCACUAAACCUGUUCACAAAGGACUGAACAUCAGCAUGCUCAAAGAACAGAAUGGCUGGAAGUGACCCCACAAGACAGAUACACUUUUAUAAGUCAAUUGGUAUUGGUGAUGUCCAGAGAGAGAACAAAUAGAGAAAUAUGUCAUACAAUUAAGGGUUACAGGGAAAACAUAUCUGCAAAGGUCAAGCCCUGUACUGUGCCCUCAAGGACCUGAAGAGUAUGGCUGUCUCUUCCCCUUGUACAGAAAACAGGCAAUCAGCCCUCUACUUCAAAACACGGGGAGACUGACAGGGAGAGUGUUCCUGAGGCAAGCCAGUAAAACUGACUGGAAAAUUUGUGAGUAGCACAAACCGGCAGACAUUUUAUCUCUCCAAGAUGAAUAAAUUGUCUUUCAAACGUUUCUCAGAAGGACCUAAUGUCUGCUCCUCUCUCUGAGAAAGAAAAUAUGCAGUUAAAUUUGGUUCUGAAAAUUACAAGAUUGUGAAAGCACAUUGUACUUGCUUCAAUAUAUCCCCUAGGUGCCAAACAUGUCAUCUGGUGCAACAGACUUUUGAGUGUAGUGGAAUCCGGUCCAGACGCUAGGCUGUAAACCAACUGCAAAACUUUAGAAUGUUUUUGAGGCGGCAGGUAUUUAUUCCAGUAAAGUGAGUGACCAAGCAACUUUCACUUUGUUUCCUUACUUUGAAAACCUCGCUCUCUUUAACCAUGAUGAACUAUACUUUAUAUAAUGCUUAUUUAUUGUAAUGGGAAGGUUUAUCACGUAUGUACAUAUUUGUUGUAAGAAAUAUUUGAAAAUACAAUUGAUUCUUCAUUUGA